rnacentral:rRNA from 1 species
GACGAACGCUGGCGGCGUGCUUAACACAUGCAAGUCGAACGGUAAGGCCCUUCGGGGUACACGAGUGGCGAACGGGUGAGUAACACGUGGGUGAUCUGCCCUGCACUUCGGGAUAAGCCUGGGAAACUGGGUCUAAUACCGGAUAGGACCACUGCCUGCAUGGGUGGUGGGGGAAAGCUUUUGCGGUGUGGGAUGGGCCCGCGGCCUAUCAGCUUGGUGGUGGGGUGAUGGCCUACCAAGGCGACGACGGGUAGCCGGCCUGGGAGGGUGACCGGCCACACUGGGACUGAGAUACGGCCCAGACUCCUACGGGAGGCAGCAGUGGGGAAUAUUGCGCAGUGGGCGCAAGCCUGAUGCAGCGACGCCGCGUGGGGGAUGACGGCCUUCGGGUUGUAAACCUCUUUCAGCACCGACGAAGCGCAAGUGACGGUAGGUGCAGAAGAAGGACCGGCCAACUACGUGCCAGCAGCCGCCGUAA